rnacentral:misc_RNA from 1 species
AGAGAGAGAGAGAGAGAGAUGUUGUGUUUCACUGCCCCCCUACAAUUCAUUUAGUCUCUAGGCAUGUCUGAUGUUAGCACCUAUCUUCUAGUGUGGAUUUUUGUUUCCCAAUGAAGUGUAUGCGUGCAGAUUCUCCUACUCUGUUGCAUAUUUCAACAUUGAUGAUGAACUAUCAUGGAGAGUUCUGUGUUAGUUAUUAACAGUUCUAUUGUGGAGUACAGCGUAACCCAAUUUGUAGAUGACCUUUUCAGUUUUUCUUACAAGUUGUAACCUUCCAAGUAUCCAUAUUAUAUGGUUGCUGGUUAUAAGCCUUUCUGAAUUCGUCUUUUGCAAAAUCUUGUAAGGGCAUAAGAAACCCAUCCAUUGAUGAUUUGUUCUUUUAUCUUUGACAAAUAUUUGUGUCAAAAUUUGUUUUGUUUCUAUCAAAUGCUCAUAAUUUCUUUCAGCUGAUCUAACUUGACAGUUGACACUAAUUUUUAUUAUGGAUAUCUCAAUGCCUUUGUAUGAAUUCUUAAAACUUUUUAUUCAGUAGGCUGGUAUUGCAUCUGCUAUUUCUGUUGACGGUCUAAAUAGAUUGGGGGUGAAGCAUGCAGCUAGAUGAAGCAUUGGAUUGAAGUUUGAUCCAUGCUUGGAGAUCAUACGUUUUCAAUAAUUAAAGAUGUGAUUUUGUUGUAAGAUGAUGUGUUUUCGCUGCAGGAGCAAUUUUCUUUGUGUCCAGUCGAUGUGACUACAUGGAAUUUUCCAUUUCAUUACUUCAU